UGGUGAAUGAUGAAUCAAAGGCCGGACUUACAGCUGCCAUUUAGUUCGCUGGGUAGUAGAUUGACGAUUUUUUUUCUUUAAGGUGCAUGUUCUGAGCCAG